AAGCCUUGUCUGUGUCUCUUGGACCGUGACAUACAAACAUUAUGUUUUAAGUUGUAUCUAUUCUUAUCAGUUUAAUAUCUGAUAUGUCCUCAAUUUGAGGACUGUAUAUUAAAUUGAUUCAACCCUACCUUUUAUUUGAAAGGAAAGUGUUGCCCCAAAGUGCCAUUCCCUGUGACUCUAGGGGGGCUGUCUCU